UCAAAUAUGUCUAACUACUACUUCUACUUCAACCAUUUUCUACCCUCAGUAACUACCUAAGUCGAAAAUAAUGUUACUAGGUAACUAAAAAUAUUUCUGAGAUAUUACAACUCUCCUUCACAACCCCUAUUUGAAAAACACGGUCUCCAUUAUCCUUAUUCUAGGCUGUUUGUGUAAAUGUGCCUUACCUGUCUAACUGUCAAAUUUAUUAAAACUAAACUGUCAAUGUCAACCUGACAUAACCUUAACCUGUUUGGCUGUUUUUUUUUCCGCACUAAUCAAAACAAAAGCAUGCGUCGUUGUGUUCAACAACAUCGAUCGCACGAAGAAAUCUAAUGUUUACCCGAUUAAACUUACGAAACUCUAAAAUAAUGAGUGAAUCUUACAGGACCAAACAUAACAAUGCAAACCCAACUACACUCUUUGUUGAACUAAACCCAUGAUAAACCACUGAUCAAACCAUCCACUGUGACAAAACAUUCACAAUCCCUCACUAAUUAUAUACCAAAGUUACUAUUCUACAAUAAGAUAUGACAUGCUUUUCAAAUGCUGAUGAUGAUGAUGAUGUUCUAUAUUUGACAACCAAACUCUGAGACUAUACAUAUACUAUGUAGUAAACAUCCUGACUCAGGUGAAGAAGCGGAUUGCAACGACACUCAAAAUAGGAACAACUAAACUACCCACAUAACUCUUAACUUACAGAGAAUAUAUUGACACUAAAUGAGGUCCAAGCCUACUUUACCUGGUCUAAGACUUUAUCAAUAACAGUUUACUUGCCCUACAUUAAUUGUUUUCUAAAUUUAUUGUUAUGUCGGACCGCUACCUUUCAUCACUAUUUUUUUUCAAAUGAGAUUAUUGUUAUAUUUUCUUUUC